rnacentral:rRNA from 1 species
AGUCGAACGGCAGCAUGAUCUAGCUUGCUAGAUUGAUGGCGAGUGGCGAACGGGUGAGUAAUACAUCGGAACGUGCCCUGUAGUGGGGGAUAACUAGUCGAAAGAUUAGCUAAUACCGCAUACGACCUGAGGGUGAAAGUGGGGGACCGCAAGGCCUCAUGCUAUAGGAGCGGCCGAUGUCUGAUUAGCUAGUUGGUGGGGUAAAGGCCCACCAAGGCGACGAUCAGUAGCUGGUCUGAGAGGACGAUCAGCCACACUGGGACUGAGACACGGCCCAGACUCCUACGGGAGGCAGCAGUGGGGAAUUUUGGACAAUGGGGGCAACCCUGAUCCAGCAAUGCCGCGUGUGUGAAGAAGGCCUUCGGGUUGUAAAGCACUUUUGUCCGGAAAGAAAUCGCACUUACUAAUAUUAGGUGUGGAUGACGGUACCGGAAGAAUAAGGACCGGCUAACUACGUGCCAGCAGCCGCGGUAAUACGUAGGGUCCAAGCGUUAAUCGGAAUUACUGGGCGUAAAGCGUGCGCAGGCGGUUGUGCAAGACCGAUGUGAAAUCCCCGGGCUUAACCUGGGAAUUGCAUUGGUGACUGCACGGCUAGAGUGUGUCAGAGGGGGGUAGAAUUCCACGUG